rnacentral:rRNA from 1 species
GAACGUGUCCUGUAGUGGGGGAUAGCCCGGCGAAAGCCGGAUUAAUACCGCAUACGCUCUACGGAGGAAAGGGGGGGAUCUUCGGACCUCUCGCUACAGGGGCGGCCGAUGGCAGAUUAGCUAGUUGGUGGGGUAAAGGCCUACCAAGGCGACGAUCUGUAGCUGGUCUGAGAGGACGACCAGCCACACUGGGACUGAGACACGGCCCAGACUCCUACGGGAGGCAGCAGUGGGGAAUUUUGGACAAUGGGCGCAAGCCUGAUCCAGCAAUGCCGCGUGUGUGAAGAAGGCCUUCGGGUUGUAAAGCACUUUUGUCCGGAAAGAAAACUUCUGCCCUAAUACGGCGGGAGGAUGACGGUACCGGAAGAAUAAGCACCGGCUAACUACGUGCCAGCAGCCGCGGUAAUACGUAGGGUGCAAGCGUUAAUCGGAAUUACUGGGCGUAAAGCGUGCGCAGGCGGUCCGCUAAGACAGAUGUGAAAUCCCCGGGCUUAACCUGGGAACUGCAUUUGUGACUGGCGGGCUAGAGUAUGGCAGAGGGGGGUAGAAUUCCACGUGUAGCAGUGAAAUGCGUAGAGAUGUGGAGGAAUACCGAUGGCGAAGGCAGCCCCCUGGGCCAAUACUGACGCUCAUGC